rnacentral:rRNA from 1 species
GACGAACGCUGGCGGCGUGCUUAACACAUGCAAGUCGAAUGGAAAGGCCCUGCUUUUGUGGGGCGCUCGAGUGGCGAACGGGUGAGUAACACGUGAGUAACCUGCCCUUGACUUUGGGAUAACUUCAGGAAACUGGGGCUAAUACCGGAUAGGAGCUCCUGCUGCAUGGUGGGGGUUGGAAAGUUUCGGCGGUUGGGGAUGGACUCGCGGCUUAUCAGCUUGUUGGUGGGGUAGUGGCUUACCAAGGCUUUGACGGGUAGCCGGCCUGAGAGGGUGACCGGCCACAUUGGGACUGAGAUACGGCCCAGACUCCUACGGGAGGCAGCAGUGGGGAAUAUUGCACAAUGGGCGGAAGCCUGAUGCAGCAACGCCGCGUGCGGGAUGACGGCCUUCGGGUUGUAAACCGCUUUCGCCUGUGACGAAGCGUGAGUGACGGUAAUGGGUAAAGAAGCACCGGCUAACUACGUG